GACAGAGGGUGCAAACGUUGCUCGGAAUUACUGGGCGUAAAGCGCGUGUCGGUGGAUUGGUGUGUCAGAUGUGAAAUCCCUGGGCUCAACCCAGGAACUGCACCUGAAACUACCAGUCUUGAGUGGUGGAGAGGGAAGUGGAAUUCCUGGUGUAGAGGUGAAAUUCGUAGAUAUCAGGAGGAACACCAGUGGCGAAGGCGGCUUCCUGGACACCAACUGACGCUGAGACGCGAAAGCGUGGGGAGCAAACAGG
rnacentral:rRNA from 1 species